rnacentral:rRNA from 1 species
AUCGAACGCUGGCGGCAGGCCUAACACAUGCAAGUCGAACGAGUGGCGGACAGGUGAGUACUGUCUGGUAAACUGCCCGAUGGCGGGGGAUAACUACUGGAAAAGGUAGCGAAUACCGCAUACCAUCGGAUGUGCCCAGAUGGGAUUAGCUAGAAGGUGGGGUAACGGCUCACCUAGGCGACGAUCCCUAGCUGGUCUGAGAGGAUGACCAGCCACACUGGAACUGAGACACGGUCCAGACUCCUACGGGAGGCAGCAGUGGGGAAUAUUGCACAAUGGGCGCAAGCCUGAUGCAGCAAUGCCGCGUGUAUGAAGAAGGCCUUCGGGUUGUAAAGUACUUUCAGCGAGGAGGCGUUACUCGCAGAAGAAGCACCGGCUAACUCCGUGCCAGCAGCCGCGGUAAUAC